UUCCGGCCGAUUGGCCGGUGGUUUGGCUCCAAUUUGGCCAUAUGCGGAUUCAGCAUCGAAAAAUGAGCCAAGGAGAGAAAAUUUACCUUGUUUGGCGAUCGAAAAAUCCUCUGAUGCGGCGGCGAGUGGCGACGGGUGGCGGCGGCCGGCUCCUCCGGUCACUGGUUCUUCUUCUCCGGCGAGUGUACUGGCGGCUAGGGUUUGGGAUUGGGUGUGGGUGAGGUUAUUUAUAACCUUCCCCUUUUAAUCUCAGCCGUCCAUCACGAUUUAAUCUGGGCCGUCCGAUCGCGAUUAAAAUGAGAAUAAACCUGGACCGUCCAUCGUGAUGCGAUCUGGACCGUCCGUGCGUGAUUCAAUCUGGGCUGUCCACAUGCGUGAGAUCUCGGUCGUCCGUGCGCGUGAGAUCUGGGCUAUCCGUACGCGUAAGAUCUGGACCGUUCGAUCGCGUACACGCGGAUCGCCCACGUGGCUCCGUCCCGUGUGGCCUUCCGCGUCAGCGUCCUUGCCACGCGGCGUGUUCUGGUUGGCCGGGGCUACUAACUGGGCUGCUGACGUGGCUACUGACGUGGCACAACUUUUCUAAAUUGUAUUUUGACC
rnacentral:lncRNA from 1 species